GUUUUAUUUGUUAAGUACUCUGUGGAUUAAAUUGUUGGACCUAACAGAAAUGCUUGAAAAUUUAAUCGGAAGUUCAUUAUAAAUCGUAUUCUGGUCAAAACAAAAAAAAAUAAGUUUAAUGUAGUAUUUUUUUGUAAUAAGAAUUUUAAUAUCAAAUUUUGAUGAAAAUCAUUUUAGUAAAAAAUUAUGUGGAACAAAUUUAGUUACUGGUCCAUACAAAUUGUUUCAACGUAUAUUUAUUUCACUAUAAUAUGGUGUAUAUAUUAAAAAAGCAAUACUUUUAACGGAACUCCGCUCAGAAUCGUUUUUCGUCAGCAAUGAUCUUUGCUUACUGAUAUACAUUAAAUUCCUCUUUAUAUCCUACCUUGCCUUCUCAUCUACACUGGUCCACCCAUAGGAGUUUAAGUGGGGGGACUCAAAAAAAAAUAUUUUUCGACGGUCAAAAAGCGUCCCCAUUAACAAAUUAUUUGUAAGGUUUCUACACCGGAACGCUACAAUUAUAACUUAAUAUAAAACAUUAGUGAUUUGUUAUAUAAAUAAAAUUCAGAAUUCCGUUGAGAUUAAAUCUUGGUUAUCAUUAUUUUUUUGAAUAAUUGUUAUUUUACUUUUAUUCAUAGACUUAUACAUCUAGAACAUUCAUUCGAAGGACUAGGAGACGUGAUCGAUCCGAACAGAUCAAGAGAGAUAGACUGAAGUGUGAGAGAGAACAAUUUUGUAUUUUGAGGACAGCCAAUUAAAACACUCCGUUUAUUAUCUUGUGGUAUUAUUGUAUAUUUUUUAUUAUUUUGUACUCUGAAAACACCGGAACUCGUUUUCAUACUGAAUGUUCCGUCUAGAUAUUGUAUAAGUCUAUUCUUUUAUCGUAUAAUAACACUUGUAUCAAAUGUAUUUGAUGGACUAUUCACAGAUAUGUAUACUAAUAUACAAAUUAUGUUUGUUAGAUUUUUAUUUUUGUUAUGUUGAAUCAAACAAGUGCAAAAAAAAAAUUCAAUUUAUGUUCCUACGUUACAUUACAU